rnacentral:rRNA from 1 species
AUACGGAGGGUGCGAGCGUUAAUCGGAAUUACUGGGCGUAAAGCGUGCGUAGGCGGUUUGCUAAGUCAGAUGUGAAAGCCCCGGGCUUAACCUGGGAACUGCAUUUGAUACUGGCAGACUAGAGUAUGAUAGAGGGGGGUAGAAUUCCUGGUGUAGCGGUGAAAUGCGUAGAUAUCAGGAGGAAUACCAGUGGCGAAGGCGGCCCCCUGGAUCAAUACUGACGCUGAGGUACGAAAGCGUGGGGAGCGAACAGGAUUAGAAACCCGAGUAGUCC